UACGUAGGUGGCAAGCGUUGUCCGGAUUUAUUGGGUUUAAAGGGUGCGUAGGCGGUCUAAUAAGUCAGUGCUGAAAUAUCCCGGCUUAACCGGGAGGGUGGCAUUGAUACUGUUGGACUUGAGUAGAGUUGAGGUUGGCGGAAUUGACGGUGUAGCGGUGAAAUGCUUAGAUAUCGUCAAGAACACCGAUAGUGAAGACAGCUAACUAAGCUCAAACUGACGCUGAGGCACGAAAGUGUGGGGAGCAAACAGG
rnacentral:rRNA from 1 species